CCUACGGGAGGCAGCAGUGAGGAAUAUUGGUCAAUGGACGAGAGUCUGAACCAGCCAAGUAGCGUGAGGGAUGACUGCCCUAUGGGUUGUAAACUUCUUUUAUAUGGGAAUAAAUUGUUCCACGUGUGGGAUUUUGUAUGUACCAUAUUAAUCAGGAUCGGCUAACUCCGGGCCAGCAGCCGCGGUAAUACGGGGGGUGCAAGCGUUAUCCGGAUGUAUUGGGUUUAAAGGGUGAGUAGGUUGUGAGGUAAGGCAGCGGUGAAAUGGCGCCGCUCAACGGGGUGAAGUGCCAUUGAUACUGCCGUGCUGGAAUGCGGAUGCCGUGGGAGGAAUGGGUGGUGUAGCGGUGAAAUGCGUAGAUAUCACACAGAACACCGAUUGCGAAGGCAUCUCACGAAACCGCGAUUGACGCUGAUGCACGAAGGCGUGGGUAUCAAACAGGAUUAGAUACCCCAGUAGUC
rnacentral:rRNA from 1 species